AUUCCGCAACGAAUGAAGAGGGACAUGGAUCGGCUACGGGAGCUGGUCCCUGACGUGGUGGUGGUGUGGUCCGAGAUGGUGCCUCGUUUUACAUGGCGGCACGCCAGGGACCCUGCUGCGGUGGCACGAUGCAGGGGGAAGAUUAAUAGAGCUAUGGCAGUAUUUGUUAAUCGGAUGGGAGGAGUAGUGGUGAGGCAUCGGGAACUGGAGGGCAUGUUGC